ACCAGACUGACUAACUUGUCUCUCACUCACUCUAAAAACUGUACAGUUCAAGACAGAAAUACAAUAUACAAAGAACAGAGAACAAACUCCAAAAAUGAAACGAGAGCCACUGAAAGACAUUACCAACGUGCAAACGGUUAAGAAAAUGACCCAACAGAACACCAAAAAUGGGCAACCAGCCCGCAGAUGCUUCGAGAUCUUUAGAGGAUCUAACUGAUGGGCGGACCAGAGAGUGAGUGUCAGAGAGGAGUCCGAAUAGUAUUAUCAUGUUCAUGGUUAUUUUGGAAAUCUGCAGAACUCACACAGAAUAGAGAAACACACAAAAGACACAAUCUUGAACCGCAAGAAAUAAACGACGAAUUUAAUUUUUAUUGGGGUGGGUUGUGUACGUGUCGAUCGGACACAUAUAUAUGUAUGUAUUAACUUGUUAGUAAUUUUCGAUUUGUUUCGCCUGUUCUUCCAUCCUUUACGAUUUCUUUUAGGUCUGUCCUUUUUUAACAUGCUUUCCUCCUCCCUUUUCCUCCUUUUCGUCAUCAGAUAACCGUUCCGGAGUGUUCCAGAUCCUGACUGUUACUGAUAGUGGCAUGUCUCCUUAAAGUACUCGUACGAUUUGAUAUGUUCAAGAGGGUGUUGAGUCUGA
rnacentral:lncRNA from 1 species